AACGAACGCUGGCGGCAUGCCUAACACAUGCAAGUCGAACGAGACCUUCGGGUCUAGUGGCGCACGGGUGCGUAACGCGUGGGAACCUGCCCUUAGGUUCGGAAUAACUCCCCGAAAGGGGUGCUAAUACCGGAUAAUGUCUUCGGACCAAAGAUUUAUCGCCCUUGGAUGGGCCCGCGUUGGAUGAGCUAGUUGGUAGGGUAAAAGCCUACCAAGGCGACGAUCCAUAGCUGGUCUGAGAGGAUGAUCAGCCACACUGGGACUGAGACACGGCCCAGACUCCUACGGGAGGCAGCAGUGGGGAAUAUUGGACAAUGGGCGAAAGCCUGAUCCCGCAAUGCCGCGUGAGUGAUGAAGGCCUUAGGGUUGUAAAGCUCUUUUACCCGGGAUGAUACUGACAGUACCGGGAGAAUAAGCGCCGGCUAACUCCGUG
rnacentral:rRNA from 1 species